GGUUUUGACCUUUAAGGCAGAAACUACUCAACAAAAGGGUCACCGCUUCUGAAGUUGCUCUCCAGACGAGAGAAUCCGCCCUUCUCUACGACUCUCAAUCCUCGUAGGUACUAAUCUAAUCAUGUUAUUAUAGUUUUUAUUUUUAUUUUUUGCAACCCCUAUUUGAUUCCCAAGAAAAUCCAUCCCCCAUUUGAUUUCUGGGAAAAUUCAUUCUCAUUUGAUUUUCAAGAAAAUCCAUGCAAAACCUUCAAGGAAAACCAAAAAAUUAUUAUUAUUAUUAUUUUUUUUUUGCUUCCUGUGUUUUCUCUUUGCAAAACCCCCGUUUGAUUCCAAGAAAAUCCUUUCCCCAUUCGAUUUUCGGGAAAAUUCAUCAUCUUUUGAUUUCCGAGAAAAUCCAUGUAAAACCCAAGGAAAACUAAAAAAAUUGCUUUUUUUUUUGCUCCAUGUGUUUUCUCUUUACAAAACCCCUAUUUGAUUCCCAAGCAAAACACCCAAGGAAAACCCAAAAAAAUUGUUUUUUUUUUUUUUUGCUCCCUGUGUUUUAUGGAUCUGUUCUAGGGGUCUCUUUGCUUUUGUGCCAUUGGAUUUAAAUUUCACAAACCUUAAAUCCACGAUUUUUGAGCUAGGCUGAAAAACACAACCUUUGCUUGCAAAUCAUUAUCAAAUUACCAAAUAGCAUCUUAUUUUUUUUUUAAAUAAAAAUAAAAAUAAAAAUUGGACAGAUUUUUUAUCCUGUGCGCGGGUUGGACUGGUAAGAAAUAUUGGAAAAUUUCUUGAGAAUCGAUAAAAUACCGAUAAAUACAUCCUUGUUGGGUUUCAAAUCAAAUGGGUUUUUUUCCCUAGGCACUUAAUUUUGUGGCUUUGAAUGGGUCUUUGCCUCUUUCAAUUGAUUAAAUGAAGGUGCGGAAAUGGUAAUAUUUCAUAUUUUUGUUUGUUUUUGUUAGUUAAAUUCUAAUAAUCUAUUUUCCUAUUUUGGUCAUGUAGAACAUCGUUGAAUCUAGAUUAUGUUGAUUUUGGUUUCACCUCCAUUAAACUUGAGAUCAAAAACCUCAAAUUUUCCACAUAAUAGAUCUUUAAUUACUGGGUACAUUCUGGUUUACUUUAUGAUUUAUUGAAUAAAAAAUGUGGAUUGUGUGAUGGUUGAAAUAUUUAGUUACUGGGUUUUUGGUUUUAAGUCUUAAAUAGACAUGUCAAGUUGUAAGCAUUUGAGAUUCUUUGGCUGCCAUUUGAAUUCUAGACAUGCAAAUAUGUUGCUCUGGUUUUUAGAGCUGUUUGGCUUUGGUGGGUUUGUUCAAAAAAACUUUUUGGUGAUCAACAAUAGUUCAUUGUCCUCAGAUUCCAAGCUCCAAAUGUGGAAAGACAAGUUCUUGGAGGUUUCUCAGAUUUUAUAAGGAUAAGUUCUUUUUAUAUAGAAAAAUAAUUAUAAAAAAAAACCUUAAAUGAGCAGUUUUAGAUGAAACCAGGUAUAGUUUGCAUUUACAUAAAUUUGGAGUUGUUUUAGUUCUUGCUAAAUUUGUUCAUUUAUUUUUCCUAUCCUCAUUCAAUAUGGUGUCAUAUUUAUUUUUUUCAUGUACCUUUCUAUAGAGCUUGGUAAACUAUAGCUGGUUGUGUUGUCAUUUUUUCUUGGUCUUUCUAAGCAACCAAAUGAAGCAUUUGUGCAUGAUUUGUAAGCUAUCUUUGACUUGUAUAGUUUGAUGGAAACCUUGGACAUUUCAGGGAAAGUGUUAGGUUAAAAAGUCAUAAUAAUGAUCUAAAUAGUUAAAUAUCUUGGUUGAGGUUGGAUCAAAACAAUAACUUCAUUAGGUCAAAAUGAUUUUUGUUUUAGGUUUUGCUCCUAGGUUUAGCCUCCAUAUGUUUUUGCUAUAUCAAUAUUUUAAUAUUUGAGAGUUGGUUUGUUUACUUGUGUUAUUAAGAAAUAAUCUAUAAUUGUUUAAUAAAGGUGUAGUGGCUAGCUUGAUAUUUAAUUGCUCCUCAUUAUACAUUUUUUUUGAAUUUGUUAAUAUGCUCUAUAUUUUUUGCUACAGAUUCGAAGUUUGGGUGUUGGAAAUUUAAGGCUUUCCUAUAAAGUAAUGCUUCAAGAUGGAGGCAAGAGACUUGGUUGUAGAUAUAUACAUGAGCAACUUAAUUUAAGUUUAUGUAUAUUGUCUUAUAGUGUGUUUUUAAUUUCGUUGUAUAUUAUAUGAGUUUCUUCUAUAUAGAGAAAUUGGGG
rnacentral:lncRNA from 1 species